AACAGGCUAAUUUGCGCAAGAGUGUACAAAAUGAGUGCGCGGUUUGGCACUCGAUGUCGGCUUAACUUAUCUCAUGGACGCAGCAACUAUGUAGGGUACGACUGUUCGUCGAUUAAAAAGUUACACGAGCUGGGUUAAAUACGUCGUGAGACAGUAU
rnacentral:ncRNA from 1 species